UAAUUGAAGAGUUUGAUCAUGGCUCAGAUUGAACGCUGGCGGCAGGCUUAACACAUGCAAGUCGAGCGGUAGCACAGGGGAGCUUGCUCCCUGGGUGACGAGCGGCGGACGGGUGAGUAAUGUCUGGGAAACUGCCUGAUGGAGGGGGAUAACUACUGGAAACGGUAGCUAAUACCGCAUAACGUCGCAAGACCAAAGAGGGGGACCUUCGGGCCUCUUGCCAUCAGAUGUGCCCAGAUGGGAUUAGCUAGUAGGUGGGGUAAUGGCUCACCUAGGCGACGAUCCCUAGCUGGUCUGAGAGGAUGACCAG
rnacentral:rRNA from 1 species